UACGUAGGGGGCAAGCGUUGUCCGGAUUUAUUGGGCGUAAAGCGCGCGCAGGCGGCUUAGAGAGCCCGGCGUGAAAGCCCCCAGCUUAACUGGGGGAGGUCGUCGGGGACCUGCAGGCUGGAGGCCGGUAGGGGCGAGUGGAAUUCCCGGUGUAGUGGUGGAAUGCGUAGAGAUCGGGAGGAACACCAGUGGCGAAGGCGGCUCGCUGGACCGGUCCUGACGCUCAGGCGCGAAAGCGUGGGGAGCGAUCCGG
rnacentral:rRNA from 1 species